AGUGGGGAAUAUUGGACAAUGGGCGAAAGCCUGAUCCAGCCAUGCCGCGUGUGUGAAGAAGGCCUUCGGGUCGUAAAGCACUUUAAGUUGGGAGGAAGGGCUCAUAGCGAAUACCUGUGAGCUUUGACGUUACCAACAGAAUAAGCACCGGCUAACUUCGUGCCAGCAGCCGCGGUAAUACGAAGGGUGCAAGCGUUAAUCGGAAUUACUGGGCGUAAAGCGCGCGUAGGUGGCUUGAUAAGUUGGAUGUGAAAUCCCCGGGCUCAACCUGGGAACUGCAUCCAAAACUGUCUGGCUAGAGUGCGGUAGAGGGUAGUGGAAUUUCCAGUGUAGCGGUGAAAUGCGUAGAUAUUGGAAGGAACACCAUUGGCGAAGGCGACUACCUGGACUGACACUGACACUGAGGUGCGAAAGCGUGGGGAGCAAA
rnacentral:rRNA from 1 species